GACGAACGCUGGCGGCGUGCUUAACACAUGCAAGUCGAACGGAAAGGCCCUGCUUGCAGGGUACUCGAGUGGCGAACGGGUGAGUAACACGUGGGUGAUCUGCCCUGCACUUCGGGAUAAGCCUGGGAAACUGGGUCUAAUACCGGAUAGGAGCCAUUUUUAGUGUGAUGGUUGGAAAGUUUUUUCGGUGUAGGAUGAGCUGGCGGCCUAGCAGCUUGUUGGUGGGGUAAUGGCCUACCAAGGCGGCGACGGGUAGCCGGCCUGAGAGGGUGGACGGCCACAUUGGGACUGAGAUACGGCCCAGACUCCUACGGGAGGCAGCAGUGGGGAAUAUUGCACAAUGGGCGCAAGCCUGAUGCAGCGACGCCGCGUGGGGGAUGACGGCCUUCGGGUUGUAAACUCCUUUCGCUAGGGACGAAGCUUUUGUGACGGUACCUAGAGAAGAAGCACCGGCUAACUACGUG
rnacentral:rRNA from 1 species